rnacentral:misc_RNA from 1 species
AAUUCUCAUUCUCUUCAACUUGGACUUGUUGAGACUGGAUGUGGAGGUUUUUAUAGAGUGCACUUGUGCCUCUAUUCCUCUGAAAUGCAUUAGCUGGAAUGCCUUUGCUAAUCCAACUAUCAGUGUGAUAAUAUCAGUGCUGUUGUUGGUGUAAAGGGAAUCUGCUUAUAGCUGUGUUAGACAACACAAUGUUUGAAUCA